AAUGAUACCCUGGUAGUCCACGCCGUAAACGAUGAGUGCUAAGUGUUAGGGGGUUUCCGCCCCUUAGUGCUGCAGCUAACGCAUUAAGCACUCCGCCUGGGGAGUACGGUCGCAAGACUGAAACUCAAAGGAAUUGACGGGGGCCCGCACAAGCGGUGGAGCAUGUGGUUUAAUUCGAAGCAACGCGAAGAACCUUACCAGGUCUUGACAUCCCACUGACCGCUAUGGAGACAUAGUUUUCCCUUCGGGGACAGUGGUGACAGGUGGUGCAUGGUUGUCGUCAGCUCGUGUCGUGAGAUGUUGGGUUAAGUCCCGCAACGAGCGCAACCCUUGAUCUUAGUUGCCAUCAUUUAGUUGGGCACUCUAAGGUGACUGCCGGUGACAAACCGGAGGAAGGUGGGGAUGACGUCAAAUCAUCAUGCCCCUUAUGACCUGGGCUACACACGUGCUACAAUGGACGGUACAAACGGUUGCCAACCCGCGAGGGGGAGCUAAUCCGAUAAAACCGUUCUCAGUUCGGAUUGUAGGCUGCAACUCGCCUAC
rnacentral:rRNA from 1 species